rnacentral:rRNA from 1 species
UUCAUAGUCAAAAGGGCAACAGCCCAGAUCGUCAGCUAAGGUCCCUAAAUGUACGUUAAGUGGUAAAGGAUGUGGGAUUGCACAGACAACCAGGAUGUUGGCUUAGAAGCAGCCACUCAUUUAAAGAGUGCGUAAUAGCUCACUGGUCGAGUGAUUCUGCGCCGAAAAUUUCCGGGGCUAAAACUUACUACCGAAGCUACGGCAUCAUUAUGAUGGGUAGGGGAGCUUUCUAUGUGGCUUGAAGCAUGACCGUAAGGACAUGUGGACUGCAUAGAAGUGAGAAUGUUGGCAUGAGUAGCGAGAUGUGGGUGAGAAUCCCACAGGCCGUAAACCCAAGGUUUCCAGGGGAAGGUUCGUCCGCCCUGGGUUAGUCAGGACCUAAGCCGAGGCCGAAAGGCGUAGGUGAUGGACAACAGGUUGAUAUUCCUGUACCACCAAUAACCGUUUGAGAAAUGGGAUGACACAGUAGGAUAAGCUAACCGCACUGUUGGUUAUGUGCGGGCAAGUAUUGAGGCAGUUCCGAUAGGCAAAUCCGUCGGAAUAAUGCUGGGGUACGAUGCGGAGCGAAAUUUAGUAGCGAAGUAGCUGAUUUCACACUGUCGAGAAAAGUCUCUAUCGAGGUUAAAGGUGCCUGUACCGCAAACCGACACAGGUGGGUGAGGAGAGUAUCCUAAGGCCAGCGAGAGAACUGUUGUUAAGGAACUCGGCAAAAUGACCCCGUAACUUCGGGAGAAGGGGUGCCUUCGAAAGAAGGCCGCAGAGAAUAGGCCCAAGCGACUGUUUACCAAAAACAUAGGUUUCUGCUAAGUCGCAAGACGAUGUAUAGGAGCUGACGCCUGCCCGGUGCUGGAAGGUUAAGGGGAUCUGUUAGAGCAAUCGAAGCAGUGAACUUAAGCCCCAGUAAACGGCGGCCGUAACUAUAACGGUCCUAAGGUAGCGAAAUUCCUUGUCGGGUAAGUUCCGACCCGCACGAAAGGCGUAACGAUUUGGGCACUGUCUCAACAACAGACUCGGUGAAAUUGUAAUACCGGUGAAGAUGCCGGUUACCUGCGACAGGACGGAAAGACCCCAUGGAGCUUUACUGUAGCUUGACAUUGAGUCUCGGUGCUACAUGUACAGGAUAGGUGGGAGACUAUGAAGCAUGGACGUCAGUCUGUGUGGAGUCAUCCUUGGGAUACCACCCUUGUAGUACUGGGAUUCUAACCAGAGGCCAUGAAUCUGGUCUUGGGACACUGUCAGGUGGACAGUUUGACUGGGGCGGUCGCCUCCCAAAAAGUAACGGAGGCGCUCAAAGGUUCUCUCAGUACGGUCGGAAAUCGUACGAAGAGUGUAAAGGCAAAAGAGAGCUUGAUUGCAAGACAUACAGGUCGAGCAAGGACGAAAGUCGGACUUAGUGAUCCGGUGGUUCCGCAUGGAAGGGCCAUCGCUCAACGGAUAAAAGCUACCCUGGGGAUAACAGGCUGAUCUCCCCCAAGCGUCCACAGCGACGGGGAGGUUUGGCACCUCGAUGUCGGCUCGUCGCAUCCUGGGGCUGUAUUCGGUCCCAAGGGUUUGGCUGUUCGCCAAUUAAAGCGGCACGCGAGCUGGGUUCAGAACGUCGUGAGACAGUUCGGUCCCUAUCUGUUGCGGGCGUAAGAGAUUUGAAGGGAGCUGUCCUUAGUACGAGAGGACCGGGAUGGACGUACCUCUGGUGCACCAGUUGUUCUGCCAAGGGCACAGCUGGGUAGCUAUGUACGGACGAGAUAAACGCUGAAAGCAUCUAAGCGUGAAACUCCCCCUAAGAUGAGAUCUCUCAUCCUUUAAGGAGUAAGGACCCAGAAAGACGAUCUGGUUGAUAGGCCGAAGGUGGAAGCGCAGUAAUGCGUGCAGCUGAUCGGUACUAAUAGUCCGAGGGCUUGACCU